rnacentral:rRNA from 1 species
GGGCCCGCACAAGCGGUGGAGCAUGUGGUUUAAUUCGAUGCAACGCGAAAAACCUUACCUACCCUUGACAUCCCUGAAAUCGUCUAGCAGUAGACGAGUGCCUUCGGGAAUCAGGUGACAGGUGCUGCAUGGCUGUCGUCAGCUCGUGUCGUGAGAUGUUAGGUUAAGUCCUGCAACGAGCGCAACCCCUAUACUUAUUUGCCAGCACGUAAUGGUGGGGACUAUAAGUAAACUGCCGGUGAUAAACCGGAGGAAGGUGGGGAUGAUGUCAAGUCAUCAUGGCCCUUAUGGGUAGGGCUACACACGUGCUACAAUGGACAGUACAAUUGGUUGCGAACCCGCGAGGGGGAGCUAAUCUCAGAAAGCCUGUCUCAGUCCGGAUUGGAGUCUGCAACUCGACUCCAUGAAGUCGGAAUCGCUAG